rnacentral:rRNA from 1 species
CUACGGGAUGCUCCAGUGAGGAAUAUCGCACAAUGGGGGGAACCCUGAUGCAGCAACGCCGCGUGGAGGAUGACGCAUUUCGGUGUGUUAACUCCUUUUAUAUGUCAAGAAAAUGACGGUAGCAUAUGAAUAAGCACCGGCUAACUCCGUGCCAGCAGCCGCGGUAAUACGGAGGGUGCAAGCGUUACUCGGAAUCACUGGGCGUAAAGGACGCGUAGGCGGGUUGGAAAGUCAGGUGUGAAAUCCUACAGCUUAACUGUAGAACUGCACUUGAAACUUCUAAUCUAGAGUAUGGGAGGGGGAGAUGGAAUUAGUGGUGUAGGGGUAAAAUCCGUAGAUAUCACUAGGAAUACCUAAAGCGAAGGCGAUCUCCUGGAACAUUACUGACGCUAAGGCGUGAAAGCGUGGGGAGCAAACAGGAUUAGAUACCCUAGUAGUC